rnacentral:rRNA from 1 species
ACCCUUCGGGGUUAGUGGCGGACGGGUGAGUAACACGUGGGAACGUGCCUUUAGGUUCGGAAUAGCUCCUGGAAACGGGUGGUAAUGCCGAAUGUGCCCUUCGGGGGAAAGAUUUAUCGCCUUUAGAGCGGCCCGCGUCUGAUUAGCUAGUUGGUGAGGUAACGGCUCACCAAGGCGACGAUCAGUAGCUGGUCUGAGAGGAUGACCAGCCACACUGGGACUGAGACACGGCCCAGACUCCUACGGGAGGCAGCAGUGGGGAAUCUUGCGCAAUGGGCGAAAGCCUGACGCAGCCAUGCCGCGUGAAUGAUGAAGGUCUUAGGAUUGUAAAAUUCUUUCACCGGGGACGAUAAUGACGGUACCCGGAGAAGAAGCCCCGGCUAACUUCGUGCCAGCAGCCGCGGUAAUACGAAGGGGGCUAGCGUUGCUCGGAAUUACUGGGCGUAAAGGGCGCGUAGGCGGAUCGUUAAGUCAGAGGUGAAAUCCCAGGGCUCAACCCUGGAACUGCCUUUGAUACUGGCGAUCUUGAGUGUGAGAGAGGUAUGUGGAACUCCGAGUGUAGAGGUG